GUGGAAGAAAUAAACUGAGGUUCAUCAAUGGUAAUGUUCCUGCUCCAGAAGCUUCAUCCUCAAAUUAUGAAGCUUUGCUAUGUAAAGAUCAACUUGUUAUGUCAUGGUUACUCAACUCCAUGGAAAGAAAAAUAGCUGAGAUCUUUACCUAUUCUGAGUCCUCUAUCUUGCUAUGGACAAUUGUGAAGGAGAUGUAUGGGAACCAAAACAAGUCCGCUCCCGUGUUUCAACUUAAAAGAGACAUCUCAUGUAUCUAGCAAGAAGGUAAGAGUUUUACUUAGCAUCUUGGAUCUCUAAAAGGUAUGUGGAAUGAACUGGAUGUUUACCGGCCACAUACUACUGACUCCACAGUUCUCCUAAAAAGGGCUAAGAAGGAUAAAAUCUUUCAACUAUUGUCUAGCCUGAGCUCAGACUAUGAAUAUGUAAGAAGUCAUAUCCUCAUGAAUCCUGAAUUGCCAACCUUCACAAGAAUUUGUGCUACCAUUCAACGAGAGGAAGUGAGAAUGAAGGUUAUGAAUGCAGGAACCAAAGUGAAUGUAAUUGAAGCUCGAGCCUACAUAACCAAUGAGAAGAUAUACAUAGGUAAAAACCCUAACUUGAAGUGUUAGCAUUGUCAUUACAAUGGCCAUGAUAAGGAGACUUGCUAGAUUUUGCAUCCAAAGUUGAAACCAGAUUUUCUGAAAAACAAGGUUCCACUUAGAAGAUAUCAACCACAACUUUCCCACCGAGCCAACAUGACUUCAUCUUCAACUAUCAACAGUCAUGAUCUUACAAGCAGUUCACAACUAAUCCUGUAGAUCUUAUAAAUAAGUUUGCAACCUUCCUACAAAAGGAAGGAGGAAGAGAAGUAGCAGAUCAAGCUGUUGAUCUUGAAGAUGGAAAUACCACUGCCUUGUUGGGCAAGUUUGCUGGUUUUUGGCUGAUGCUGAUCACAUACCAAAGCAAAACGAUCAAGGUAUUUUAAAUGCUUUCAAAACUGCUCUAAAUGUUAAUUUGUUGCAUGAUUUUUGGAUUGUUGAUUCUGGAACCACAUAUCACAUGACUAACAAAGUGUCAAAACUAAAAGGGUUUGAAAAAUUGAAGGAACCAUCACAAGUGUCAGUUGCAAAUGGUGAAGGAGCUAAGGUUGUAGGAAAGGGAAUAGUUCAUCUGAUUUCAAAUACAAUUGAGUCAAUGGCUUUGUAUGUACCUUCAUUUCCUUUCCAGCUCUUAUUGUUGGAAAUGUGCCCUAAAACAAUCAUAUGAUGAUACUUUACGGACAUUUCGCAUGUUAAACUAAUCUAGUUUAACUAUAAAGGGCAAAGAUUAUUGUUUGAGCCGUCUCAUAUAAAUGUUAUAUGCUUAAACGAUAAAGUCCAAGGAAUAUGUGAUUGGGAGAAUGCGAUCUAAUGAAGUUAGAUUCAUGAGACCAUUCUUUCGUAGACACAUCCUAAAUGUUCCUGAUCAUAGGAUUGCCAAUUGGGCAUUGACAGUCCGUUAAGAUCAGUACGUACUGUGUCUUCUCUCAAGGAGAGUGACUAGUCUCGAGUCAUUGGUGUGUGUGACAUCAAGACAAGUACGUAGGUGCUCAAUAGAGAAUAAGUUCACUGAACACGAUCAACGAAGACUUCUCAUAUUCAUGUCACAUGAGAACUCAUGGUUGGGAUAAUGCAAAGUAGUCAUUUGACCUGAGGCAUCGUCGUUGUCUUGUGGUUAAGUCCUUGAUCUUUGAUUAUGUCAAACAUCAUUCCAUUGGAGUGUCCACGGCAUCGUUGGGGUUAAGCCACUUAGCCAUGGAGGCAAGUGAAUGCGCAACAAGGGAUCUCUAACCUUCAAACUGUUUGAGGGAGAAUACUCUAUGAUAUGAUUAGAAUCUCUGGCCAGAGUAUGAAUGAGAUUUAGGAAUGCGUUCCAAAUCACAUUCAAGGUAAUCAUAUAAGCACACGAAUCACAUUGGAUAGUAGACAUGAAUAAAUAAACUAUCAAACCAAACAAUGUGGUCAAGAGUAUUGUAUUAGAGAAAGACCGUAUUGCAUUUGUAAUCCUAAACUGAAUAGGUUCUCCACCUCUUCUGAUUAGCUUGGGUAACCAUGAUAUGCUGCUAGGUGUCACUCUUGGUUUGUGGAAGCCCUAAACGUGUAUAAUCACUAAAGGGAGAAUUGAAAGUAAGUUUCAAUUCACAAUCGAUUUGAAAGAGUUUGAAUCGCCCACUGCCUCGCUAAAAGGAACCUAAUGGAUCGUACACCGUGUAAGGUGGAGAUUGAAGAAACAAUGGAGAUGAGUAAGCAUAAUUAAAUGGUUUAAUUAUUUAUGGCAAGGAUUAAUUAAUAUGUUAAUUAAUCAAAUGAAUAAGUUCGUUAAAGACCUCGGGAUAGUGGACGUUUAGGCCCAAUGGGCUUCGAACGUCAAGCCCAUUGACUUAAGUUGUAUGACAACUUAAUUCACAAAAGCCCAAAAGCCCAAACAACACCCUAAGGCCGGCCAUAUGGUUAAGGGUAGUGAACUUGGACUUAUUUACAAGUUUGCCACUCAAAUGAAUAAAGGUGUAAAUAUGACUUUAUAGCCAAAAUUCAUUAAAGGUUUGUUUUGGAGAAAAUUGGAGAGAACAUGUCUCUCCAUUUCUCUCUAAAGAGGCCGGCCCCUUGGAGGGUGCAUCUAGCAAUCCCACUACUCCAAGGUCACUCAUUUCUUCUCCAAUCUAACCUUGGUGAAGAUACUUAGAGGUUCUCUAUUUUGGGAACUUGGAGAAUCCUAUUCUUCCAUCCAAAUCCAUAGAUUUAAUAUGCAAGGAAUGAAGGCCCUCUCUUUGGGUGAUUAGCCUUUGCUUAUGCAAAGAGGAAUCUACAAAGGUAUAAAUUUCAACUCACUUUGUUUUGAGUUGAUUCAUGGUUCACCAAUCUACUAGGCUUUGAAUUUCAUGGUUAAUGUUUUGUUUUAAGUGCAUGCAAGCAUGAUUCCGCCUUUAAUUGUUAAUUGCAUGCUUAUUGAUGUUGCUUAAAUGAACAUGUUUUCACAAAAUCUUCCUUCAAGUGGUAUCAGAGCCUAGGUCUAGUAGUUGGUGAAUCCUUUUGGGUUUUGUAGUUCAUAGUUUGUGAUUUAAAAGUUGUAAUAUGUUACAAGCUUUAUUCUUGUUUCUUUGAAUGUAAAUUUUGUUAGAAAAUUUGUCAUCUCAAAUGUUGUAGAUGUAGUUCAUAUGAGCAUGAAUAUUGGAGCUAAAAUUUGGCGCCAUGACUUUGGGGAUUUUCGGCCAAAUCCAAAGGGUGGAUUUUUGGGUUCUUGUUUGACUUGUUAAAAGUGUUUUCAAGUGACUUUUGGAACCCCUAUGUACCCUAGUUUGGUUAGAUGUUAUUUCCCUAAAGUUUGAAUGGUUUUGGAAUGUUUUUUGGGUGAAAAAAUGUUCAUGGAAAAUUUUGAGUUUUUUCAUGAGUGUUCUUCAUUGUUCUUGACAUUUUUUUGCCAAGAACAAAAAGGUUUGUGUUUUGAUUCAAAGUUUUGAUUUAUUUCAUAAAGUCUUUGUUUUGUGCUUUAUCAAAUGUUUUAAUGUGAUAGAAAUUGUGUAAGGUGAUGGAAAUGGUGAUAGGUGUGUAAGAAGUACUUCUCUUACACACACACCACUUGCAUGAAUUUAAGUCACAUACCACUUGCAUGAAUUUAUGUCACAAAUUCCACUUGCAAGGCUUUAUGAAAUUGUUGAAAAAAUUUCCAAAUUUUUGUGGACUUAUCUCCACUCCCUUUCCCUCUCUAAAAACCGGCCCUCCCUCAAUGGGAGUACUUUUGGGUCUUUUAUGCAAUUACAUAAAGUUUUGAUACUUUUGUGUAUUUGCACUUUGGCCCAAAAGUUUACGUUUUUACGUUUAGGUCCAAAAACGCUAAAGGACAAAUUGUUUUGCUCCUUUAAUGAAGUUUUUGCAUUGAUUAAAUUUUGGGUUCUAGUGUAAUUACAUGAAGUAGUGGACUUUUGUGUCUUUACAAAGUGACCCCAAAAGUUUUGCAAUAUAGCCCAAAAGUUGAGGUUAAUUGCUUUAUGGCCCAAAAAGUUGUGGUUAUUGCAUAUUGGCCCAAAUUAAGUAGAGAACAAAAUUGUUUUGUCUCUUUAAAUGAGAAUUGGAUUUUCAUUUUGUUUAGCUCCAUUUAAAUCAAUUUUAUGGAUACAAAGACCAAAUGAAAAUGUUGCAUUCUAUUUAAUUGGUUAAAGCGUUAAUUGAUUAAAGAAAGGGUGAUUAUGAACCUAAGCCUAAUAUAAUUGAGCUAUGUGAAAGGCCGUUUCAAAUUUUUUUGAACCAUGGGAAUGUGUAGAUUAGAUUUUGGUUGUAAUUUGAUUUGAUCAAAUGUUGUAAAAGGGCAUAAGCCCUUCUUUACUUUAAGGUAAUUUGUUUUAUGCAAAUGUUGUAAUGAGCAUAAGCUCACCUUUACUUUGAAGUACUUCUUUCUUGCUUUAUAUGAUAUGCAUGAAAAUGAAGUAGUUGGGUCCGACGCCCCUAAGACAACACGCCUUAAUAUGAUUAAACGCGUAACUAAAAUCAAUCUCCAUCCCUAGACCGAGAUUCAACACAAGGCUCGUGUUGAAUCUAUACAAAGGUUCAUAGCAACUAUAUAGUCCAUCAAAUGAAUGCAAAGGUUAUGUUAGUAGUAUCAUAUACUCUUGCUUUAAAAACGUUUUAUAAGCAUAGUGGGAGUAUUAUAUACAACUAAAAACAAUCAUAUGGACCAAUAGUUGUAAUAGGACCAAAAUUGUUUUAAUAGAGAUUAAAAUGAAUGUUUAUAUGUGAUGAGACCUAAAACCCUCAACCAAACCAUUAUUAAGUUGAUAAGCGUGAGAGUGCUUUGAACACUCUUUCGUGGCCUUCCACCGUGGUAGGCUCCAAUCGUAUGUGACUCGUACACCGGCUUCACCCUAUAAUGGGGGAGUACAAAGUGCGUGCUUACACUCAGGAGGAGUUCUAUAUACAUACAUGAUGAAGUGAGGUAGGCAACGAGUUUAGCCAACAUGAUAUAAUUCUGAGGCUAUGCUUGAACCCCUACACGAACUAGGCAUGGUGGGAAUGACUUAACUAAGUGCAAUGACGCCAACAUGAUAUAAUUCUGAGGCAUCAUUCUCUAGAGGCCAAAUUAGAUGGGUACUUGCAAGAGAUGCAAAUGAGUAAGCGUACUCUCUCAUUAUUAUUAACGCUAGCCAACAUGAUAUAAUUCUGAGGUGGGCUUGGUAAUAGUGAGCCUCCCAUAACCUACUAAGAGUUUCAUCCAAAACUCUCGAAUUCCAAUGAGGGAUAUGGAAUUUGCCUAAAAAUAGUGGGUGGUGCUAUUUUGAUUUAAAAACCCGAAUCAAAUGGCUUAAAAUCAAUCAAUUUAUAUUCGUUAUGUAUUUGUUUACCAAUAUAUUUGCAAACGCUAUCCAACACUUGACAAAUAAAAGCCGAAAGCUUUAGUUUCCGGACUUGGUACUACAAAACCAUAGAUUGUCUUCAAUGGCUUGUAAAUGUACCUAAGUAGUCUCUUCCUCACAAUCUUCCUAUUGAUAAUGUAUCAUUAGAAGAAUAUGUUAGAAAAAGUCUAUCAUAAAGAGGACAACACUUUUAAUGUCAUAAUUCUUCAAAUACAAUUUGUUGUAUGAAGAAAUAGGAGUUGCUUUGAACAACUCUUAGUCAAUGCAAACACUUAGUGCUUGUUUCUUUGUUAUAUGAACAAAGAACUUGAGAAGAAAGCACAAAGGCAUGGACACUUAAUGUGCCAUGAUUCUUCACUUACAAAUUGUUGUAUGAAGAAAUGAGAGUUGCCUUGAACAACUCUUGAAAGUUUGUAAUUAUGUUUAGAACAUAAUGGUUGGUUGACAAAAAUAGUCCAUCAACAUGGACUUAUGAUGAUUUUGAAUCAUUGAGUGUUGAAGUGAUAAAUCACUUAACGAGACGGAAACUAGGCAAGGACUUCACCUAUGUGCCCUAUCCUUAAUGGUUCACUAAGUUUAUUGUAAACUAUGUAGUGAACAAUAACCACAUGCUCUCCAAAUUGUUUGAUGUGUAUAACACAAUUGAAAUAAGUUUCAAGAGAGAUAGUGGGAGUUUAGGGACCAUGACUAUUGUAGUCAAAGGAGAAGUCAAAUGAAGAAGAUAAAAUUAACUCCAAGGGAACAAACUUUCUUUAUGAAAGGAUGGACAUUGGAAGGGGUAUUUGCAAGAAAUGUCUUGCAAGUGUCAAGAACACACCUUUUCGAAGGUGUUGUAAAUUGUUCUUGAAUAGUUCAAAACAGUUGGUUCUUCUACUUGAAUGCUUGAUUCCGUAUUAGUAACUAUGUUUUACAAUCGUUGUAAAAGUGUGACUAAUAAGAAGUAGAAGAUAUAUGAGAGAAGAAAAGGUGCUUCACAUUCGGAACGUGAAUAAAAAUAUAGAUCUCUGCGAAAGCAGAUAGUACUUACUUCCUCAUAUGAACUACCAAAGAAAUUGGAAAAAACCAAAGAUUGUCUUUACAUUCCAAUUUUAAGGAAUUUAAUUCCGUCACUAUAGUAGAGAUGGAUGAAUGUUUUGUUUGACAAAACACAUUGUUCUUUAUUAAUCAAUGAUUGGAUUAUAGUAAUCUAAUUGAUUGUCUCUAUAGUAGAGAUAAUAUGGUAGUGUUAACUGUUUAGAAUAUAAUGAUGCUUAAAACCCAAAAGGUUGCAAGGUAGUGACUAAUCCCAACUAAGUUGUGAUUCCUCUAAAAACAUAAGUUAUGAGUUGGUGAAAGAUGGAUACUUUGGAUCGUUAGAUCCGGAUCCAAUACCUUCUUGUUAAAAUUGUAUAGAGGCGAAAUGUUCGAAUCUUUAUUCUUUUGGAAAGAAGAAAGAAUCACAAAGUUGUUGAGGUUAAUUCACUUAGAUGUUAGUGGCACUUGUCCACAAACAUAAUACUACUCAUGUUGUAUGACAUUCACCGAAGAUCACUCUCGGUUGGACUAUAGUUUAUUUUGAAUAAACACAAGUCCGAAUACUUUGCAAAAUGUUUCAAAGAAUUCAAGUAAUGUAAGUUGAUGAGUAAGACGUCUAAAGUAUUUACCUCCUUAGAUUUGAUCCAAGAAAGGUAACACUUUAGAAACAGUUUCCUUGAAAGAUAUCAAGGAAAUAAGCAUCAUAAGAUAAUAGAUUUCUCCAUAAGGAGAAGAACGAACUUAAAUAAGAUUUAGUUCGUUGGAUAUUAUCAAUUACCCAUAUAUAGGAUAUAUACUUCUAAAACAAUAUGAUUGUCAAUUAGAAGAUCUUCCAAAAUUUUCAUGACUCCAUAAGAUGUAGUUGGAAAGAAAGACAAAUCUUAAGCAUGUUAAGAUUUGGGGUUGUGUGCUAAUAAGCAAUAUUUGUUUGAUAACAAUCUUGUGGGAUAUCCUUAAAUUAACUUUUGGAUAUCGCUUCUAUAAACCAACUAACAAAUGUUGUUUUGUUGGGUAGUUCAUUGUAAUCCUACAAUGUGAUUUGCCUAAAAGCAAAUAAACGAGAGAUAGAACUCAAAGAAUGGGUUCUUUGAGAGACAAGAAAGUAAUCAACAAAUAUAAACAACCUAGUUCCUAUACCAAAAGCUCCAAGGUAGUCAAGAAGGAUUUAUAAACCGUCUCAGUUGAAUGGUUUGAACUUUAUGACUAUGUCAUAGAGUUACACCUCUUAAUUCGAAAGAAAUAAGAAUGAAAAUCCUUAUGACUACAUUGAGUGCAUAUACGAUAUAUACUCAAGGAAAUGGUAAAGUACCAUUUAACCCGAAAUAAUGAAACCUUCAUAAGCUAAUUGGUAGCUUAAGGUGACUACAAUCAAAGAGAAUGGUUGACUUUGAAGGAACCAUUUUUGACGUAGUCUUAGUUUCAAUUAAAUUCGAAGAUUGCUAGCUACAACUAAAUGGUGAUUCAAUGUUUGGACAUAAUAUAGGUUUCCGAAACCAUUAUUAAGAUAGUCUUGAUAAUAUAUGUCUAAAACUAUGAAUCACAAGACAUGUAAGUUGUAGAGAUCCAUCCAUCAUGGAUCUUAGCAAGCUAGUGGGAGCUAUAAGCGUCUUAUGAGAGAAAGGUCAAAUCGUUUGAUUUCUCAUAAAGAUGUAAAUGAAUCUUUUGUUUACUAGGUUUACAAAAGAUUAGAGGGAGUUAAUCAUAUUCCUAAAUUUGUAUAUAUAUAAAUAAAUAUAUAUAUGUGAUAUAUAUAUGAAUAUAUAUAUGAUAUAUUAAUUUUGGAAAUGAAAAGAAUAUUUCUUCGUUAAAGUUAUGACUUUAAGCAUUCUAUAACGAUAGAAUGUAUAUGGGAGACAUAGUCUAUAUACAUGGGAUGGAAAUCUAUAUUGAUAUAGAUUUCAAGAUAUAAUUUGGAUUAUAUCAAUCCCUAAAUAAUAGACAAAAGAUGCUAGGAAGUUUCUCAUAUGAUGAUAAACUUCAAUUAGAAGGAUGACUCUAGUGUGACUAGCAAGUUGCCCUUCUCAAAGGGAACGUACCCUUUUGACUCCCAAAGAAAUAAUGCGUAAAUAGAAUCCUUUAUGCAUACGCACAAAGGUGAUUUAUGUAUUUCAUAUUGUAUGAAAAACAUUGAUAUGAGUUGUACCUAGAAAGGUACAAGACGAUAUCAGUGCAAGCCCAGGAUCAGAACCAUGGCAACUGUCAAGUGAGUCCUUAAGUAUUUAAGAAAUACUAAAGGAUAGAUUCCUCAAAGAAUGAGGAAGAAUUAGAGUAACGUAAAGGAAGCGUAAAUGUAUUAGAUUAUGAAUCUAAUCCAUCAUUGGAUGUUUCUUCUUCAUUAUGAAUGAAGAGAUAAACGGAUAUCUCUUUAUUAUGACUAAAGAGAUAUUUGGAUGGAAACAUUAAAGUAAUGACUUUAGUGUGUUCCAUUAUGAAUGCAAAAUAUAUUGCCAUAUAGAAGUUUACAACAAUGUUGUUUGGAUGGGAAAGUUCAUUUAUGAACUCUCUAUUCGGUUCCAACCAGAAAGUGUAUCUAGUGUACUGACACUAUGACACUAAUGGGGCGAUAGCUCAAGCCAGGGAAUCAAGGUCUCAUCAAGAUCCGAACUCAAAUGAGAGACUGAACCACAUGAUUGAGAAUCAUGUAUAAUGGUGACGUCGUUAUUCUCAAGGUUGCUUCUAUGGAUAACAUAUAGAUAUCCAUUGUCUAGGCCUAUUAUUCAGCCAUUUAUGAAAUGACUACAGAAGAGGUAUCAUCACUGAUGACCAAGCUGAUUGGCUCUAGUGCAAGUGGGAGAUUGUUGGAAAUGUGCCCUAAAACCAAUCAUAUGAUGAUACUUUACGGACAUUUCGCAUGUCAAACUAAUCUAGUUUAACUAUAAGGGGCAAAGAUUAUUGUUUGAGCCGUCUCAUAUAAAUGUUAUAUGCUUAAACGAUAA
rnacentral:lncRNA from 1 species